GCCUUAAGGCUGUUGCAAUCAUUCUCAUUACAGUUCAGUACCAGAGGAGAAUUACAGAUGAAAUUUGUUAUGCUAUUCAUGCACCAAAUCAGUGCGAUCAGUCAUUUACUCAGUUUUCCUCCUCAACUAUUUUAAUACUUCUCAUCCGAGAACACAGAUCAUGUACCAUGUAAAAAUGGCACCACUGAUCAAUAUUUUUUAUUUGAAUCUACAAAAUUGAGUAACAUGAAUUUUUAAGUGGGGCUUACAUAACAAGCCUGUCGGAUGCCUAUCUUUAUCAUUCGGCUAAAAGGGGGCUGCUUUGUUCUAACAGCAUGAAAGUCAGAAACUUAUUGUAUCCUACGUAUUUGUUUGUCUCGUUACAUUACACGCUGUUAAUGUACAUGAUGUCCUCCUUUGAUAUCUGCAUCUUUCCUUUGUCUCGUUUACCAUUAGUUUUAGUCCGGUCUGGUUGGCCACGCUUCUUCAACACAAAUGCCAAAUACAAAUAAGCCACUUCCCAUUCAUCGGGCGAUAAUGUGCUCUGGUCUUGGUUACCAUCACCCAAAGCACCAAGCCUUCGCAUCAAAUCAAUAUAUUCUGGUUUUUUCAAAUACUCAUGAACAAAUUCAUGCGCAUUCUUCACAAAAAUUAGCUCCAAAUCAUACUCUUCUGCCAAUGAUUUGAAGAUAUUGAAAGGGACAAUCCAUUCAGGACAAUCAACGGCAUCCUCCAGGUGGAACUUGUAUUUGAUACCAUAAGGGCUUGAAUGUUUAAAUUUCUUUUCAGAGUACUCUUCAUCAAAUCGUAUCCAGUAGACACUAUUACCAAAAGCUAGUCCUUUAGCUUCUCUAAGCUUUUUGACAAUAACAUUAGCAUCUGGCAUUGUUCCAAUGAAGAUGCCUCCUGGACGAAGUAAGGCCGACACAUUGGCCAAGGCUCUUCGAGCGCGUGCUUCAGUAGACCAGGAAUAAUGCAGAGCAAACUGACAACUGCAGAUAUCAAAAGGAGCAUCAUCUGCCAAUACUUUGUCCAAGCGAACCUCAUAACAAUCACCACAUAUGAGGCGGGCAGGAAAAGAGGACUUUCUGCGACGCUGGUGAUGAUCAGCAUCACCAUUGUAGCGCGUGCGGCAAUCUUCUAUCGAGCCUUCAGCAAUAUCAAUGCCAACAUAAUAACCAAUUUUUGCUUUAUCCCAUUUGAUAAGAUCACCACCCUUGCCACAAGCAAGAUCGAGAACAACAUCCCCUCGGCGAGCAUAAAGUUGAACCAAGACACUUUUUAUCCAAUUGUUCAGUUUCUUUAAAUGGAUAAUUGGACUCGCUUCUCGUUCUUCCA
rnacentral:misc_RNA from 1 species